UCUGAUAGCUACUGUGUUUCUGAGCACUACAGUUCCACAGGAACAGCAUGGCACUUGUGAAGAUCAAGAUGAUUACCAAUUUAACCUUUAAAGCUGAGUGAUGAGCAACUGCAAUGCUACUUUUCUACUUCUUGUUUCAAUUACAUCACCUUCAAAUAGAUGGAGACACACCCGUGUACAUGUGUAUGUGGAGGCAGGUCAUGUACAAUGUCACCUACUGCUGGAGACAGCAUCUCACAAUUCUAUCUCUUCUGCUGGCAUGCUAGGAUUACAGAAGACCACCCAUCAGCUUUGGCUUUCCAAACAAAUGUCUAAGAAGGUUGACGUCAUAGAAAAGACAUUCCAAUGAUGCAAAAGACAAGCCUUGACUGCCACAACAUUUACUGUACACCUGUCAUUCUACCACUGAGGAAGCUCAAGCAAGACUGCCACAGGCAUAAAGCAUUAAGGUCUGGUCUACAUGGCAAGAUCCAGGCUAGCUAGCUAGCUAGCUAGGAUGAUCAGUAAGGAGUCUGCAUAGCUGCCCUGCUCAGUGGAGCCCAGCACUGUCUGCAAAGGACAGAAAAUGACCCUGCCCUAAAGUGUGUCAUCUGUUAUACCAGCAGCUGACAUGAUCGUUGCUGUUAAUUUAAGUGCCUUUCUCUUAAAAUGAAUGCAGGCAUUCAGCCCCCUUUCUUGAAGACAGUGUAUUGAACUAUCUUUAAACAACAAUAGGAUUUGAGUACAGUUCUUUCAGAAGCAGAUCACAGCUGUGAAUGUCACUGUUCAGCUACUUCCCCUUCCCUUUCCCCCGGGGAUCAGACCCUACUCUUUUAAAGUUACUUUGUUAGUUUUUUCAGCAAUUAACAUUUUUAAAAAUUAAUUAUUAUUCAUCUUACUUCAACAUGUAUCCAUGCUCCAAAUUUAUAAUAAAAACAACCACAAAAUUAAAGAUGAUUUAUGCC